rnacentral:lncRNA from 1 species
CACUACUCUGUCUUCCCUCCACUGUACACAUGAUAUUUUACAGUCUUUCAGAUAUUUAUUCAGGAAGUAGGAUUCAGCCUUUGCUCCCUGGAGAGCCCUCAGGUCUGAGUCCCUGACUUUCCUUUUUCUCUACCUCCCUGUGGGAGAAAUAGAAUGACAGGUUCAAGACUGCAAAACAGAUAAAAGGUAAAGAAGUUUCCUUCUCUCCAUGGAGAGCUCACAUCCUCAGCAUAGCAAAGAAUGAGUCUGCACUCUUUAAAACAAACAGUAAGGGUUGACUGAUUUCUGUGCCUGGCUGUUUCAGAGUUCCUGGCCCUCAGGGUGGUGUGCGAGGACCAGGAGUACGCUGGGUAGCUGGAGGUUUCCUACAACAGGACCUAGGGCAGUGUCUGGUGCAGCCCCAUGGAAGCCACGACCUUGUCUGUGAUCUUCAUACAGCUUGGCUGUCAGGACAGUGGGACCCUCAACUCUGAUGUCCCUGCCAGGGAAGGUUCUACACCCCUGUAGGUAGACGGAAUCCAGUGUCGAAAAAGUGACUCCUCUGACCCUUGCAAUCCUAGAUCUUGCUGUUCAAGGGAUGCAGCUUAUGUCAUGUGUGCAGGUCCCAGACCCAAGAGCUGCCCAACUCUGGCCCCUGCACAGGUGAAAGGGCAACUGUUCCUCCCAUCCCCUGAAAUCUGACAUCUAGCAAGUUGAAUGUUACAUUAUUUCCCCUGUAUCAAAAGGACAACUGUACUCUUAAGGCAAGUACUUAAUUAAUGAAAUAAGCUGGGCAAAAAUAUAUACCUGAGGGCUUAAUAAAUAAAUUAUGGAUACAGGUCUGGCAGAUA